rnacentral:rRNA from 1 species
AUGUGUAGGAUAGGUGGGUGGCUUUGAAGUGAGGACGCCAGUCUGCAUAGAGACGGCCUUGAUAUAACACCCUUUAAUGCUUGAUGUUCUAACGUGGGCCCCUUACCGGGGAUGCGGACAGUGGCUGCUGCGUAGUUUGCUCGGGGCGGCCCCCUCCUCUAGACAAACGGAGGAGCGCUAUGGUUGGCUAUUUCCGGUCGGCCUUCACGAGGCUAUAGCAAUGUCUUAUGCUGCCUUACUUGCAGCGC